rnacentral:rRNA from 2 species
CGAGUUCUCGUUGAUGAUCGGUGCUUGCACCGAGAUUCAACAUGGAACGAGUGGCGGACGGGUGAGUAACACGUGGGUAACCUGCCCUUAAGUGGGGGAUAACAUUUGGAAACAGAUGCUAAUACCGCAUAGAUCCAAGAACCGCAUGGUUCUUGGCUGAAAGAUGGCGUAAGCUAUCGCUUUUGGAUGGACCCGCGGCGUAUUAGCUAGUUGGUGAGGUAAUGGCUCACCAAGGCGAUGAUACGUAGCCGAACUGAGAGGUUGAUCGGCACACAUUGGGAAUGAGACACCGCCCAAACUCCUACGGGAGGCAGCAGUAGGGAAUCUUCCACAAUGGACGCAAGUCUGAUGGAGCAACGCCGCGUGAGUGAAGAAGGCUUUCGGGUCGUAAAACUCUGUUGUUGGAGAAGAAUGGUCGGCAGAAGUAACUGUUGUUCGGCGUGACGGUAUCCAACCCAGAAAGCCACGGCUAACUACGUGCCAGCAGCCGCGGUAAUACGUAGGUUGGCAAGCGUUAUCCGGAUUUAUUGGGCGUAAAGCGAGCGCACGCGGGUUUUUUAAGUCUGAUGUGAAAGCCCUCGGCUUAACCGAGGAAGCGCAUCGGAAACUGGGAAACUUGAGUGCAGAAGAGGACAGUGGAACUCCAUGUGUAGCGGUGAAAUGCGUAGAUAUAUGGAAAGAACACCAGUGGCGAAGGCGGCUGUCUGGUCUGUAACUGACGCUGAGGCUCGAAAAGCAUGGGUAGCGAACAGGAUUAGAUACCCUGGUAGUCCAUGCCGUAAACGAUGAAUGCUAGGUGUUGGAAGGUUUCCGCCCUUCAGUGCCGCAGCUAACGCAUUAAGCAUUCCGCCUUGGGGAGUACGACCGCAAGGGUUGAAACUCAAAGGAAUUGACGGGGGCCCCGCACCAAGCGGUGGAGCAUGUGGUUUAAUUCGAAGGCAACGGCGAAGAACCUUACCAGGUCUUGACAUCUUUUUGAUCACCUGAGAGAUCAGGUUUCCCCAUCGGGGGCAAAAUGACAGGUGGUGCAUGGUUGUCGUCAGCUCGUGUCGUGAGAUGUUGGGUUAAGUCCCGCAACGAGCGCAACCCUUAUGACUAGUUGCCAGCAUUUAGUUGGGCACUCUAGUAAGACUGCCGGUGACAAACCGGAGGAAGGUGGGGAUGACGUCAAAUCAUCAUGCCCCUUAUGACCUGGGCUACACACGUGCUACAAUGGAUGGUACAACGAGUUGCGAGACCGCGAGGUCAAGCUAAUCUCUUAAAGCCAUUCUCAGUUCGGACUGUAGGCUGCAACUCGCCUACACGAAGUCGGAAUCGCUAGUAAUCGCGGAUCAGCACGCCGCGGUGAAUACGUUCCCGGGCCUUGUACACACCGCCCGUCACACCAUGAGAGUUUGUAACACCCGAAGCCGGUGGCGUAACCCUUUUAGGGAGCGAUCCGUCUAAAGGGGA